AGGAAUUCACGAAUCAGCUCGGCGCCCGCCGCGCGCUCCAUCGUGCAGAACGUGGGCGAAAAGUGAAAACCAAGCCGCCAAUCCAUCCCCCUCUCCCUCUCGUCCCGACCCCUGCCUCGCGCAGCCGCCUCGUCUCUCCUCCCCUCUCCCUCGUGUUCUCUCCCACGCCGCUGGCCCUCUCUCUCGCCUCAGCCGCCUCCUCUCCUCCCCUGCGCCGUCGGCUCCCUCAUCCUGCUUCUUCCUCCUUUCCGUCGGCGGCAGUGGUAACUGGUGAGCAUGGGAGCAGCGGCUGCGGCUGGACGCCGUGAGCUCGGGAGCAGCUUGUUGAGAUGGUCCAAGACUCCAGCGCAGUUGGGAACGACCAAGGCAAGGAGGAUCAAGAUCUGGAUGGCACGCCUCACCCUCGGCUACCUCUUCCACCUCCCCGUCGACUGCCACUUAUCACGGAGGAGGAAGGGAUGGAGAGAUAUGGCGGCUGCGACUGGAGCUGGCGGAUGCCAGAUAGAGGUCCACCCUGUUCCCGGCCUCCCGCGUCCCGCCCCGGUACAGGGGCAACGGCAAGGUGAAGAUCGUCAUGCCCGGGAUUGGGCUCGGUGAUGAAGGGCAAGCGAGGUUCCUACCCAUGGGCUCCGGCAAGGCUCUCACUGAUGGAUUUGCAGUAUGCCUAAUCUUGGACGUGUGCAAACCAACAUAGUUGUGAAUGAGCUCUGCUAGAUUGUCUCAGCUCAUGCCAUGAGCUUUGGUAGUGUGUCACUGCAAUGCGUAAUGUCCAUUCCUUCUGCCUUUUUCCUUUCUGUACAUUUGGAGAAAAAUGCACACAUGUUAUUUCUGCAUUUGACAAUUCCAGUUAGGUGUAAAAACCUGGCUUUGUUUUGUUCCUUUUUGUUCUCUGUACAGUUUUUGCACUGACCAAUGAACUGUGAUGUCCAUGAAUGCUAUUAAGGCACUGUUGAACUCCGCCUUUUCCUAUCUGUACAUUUGGAGAAUAAUGCAUACAUGUUGUCACAGCAAUUUUUUGUUGGGGUUCACAUGUUGUCACUAUAUGUAUGAGACUGACAUAGUAAGUUUUCCCCUUUACAGGAAGAUUAAAAGUUAAGUUUUCUGACGGUGAGUUAUGUGUGGUUUGAGGGGUUGCAGCUUGCCUAACAGAGGUUCCCUAAAAACGAUGUUUCAGGAAAAGUAAGCAGUAUUCUCUUCGACCGUCCGAUUUGUGUUGAUCGUGCUGCAAGUUGAUGCCUGGGUUUACAACUGGUGGUUUUUCCAUUCCUUAAUCCUCAUGUCUUCUUGUGUGCGUGUGUGUCACAUGUGCUUACAUCUAGGUUUGAUGCGAAUUUUCUUUUUACAGGGUGCUAGCCACUGUAGUUCUGUUUGUUUGUUCGUAGGACACAUGUGACAAACGGUGACAUUGCGGUCUCUUUACCUUCAUAUUCUUAUCUUGGUUUUGUUUCUUUCUGCGUGUAUCUACGCCAUGGCUGAACAUUCUUUGCUCAUUGAUAUGUGUAUGCACGGGUUUGUUCUUCUUCUAGAGAAUUAAGUUGGUGACUUUUAUUAUUGUUAAUUGCUCAGAGUGAUUGUUCUCAAAGUAGUCUUGAACAAUUAAUCAUUUGCAGGUAUUUAUCUAACCAUUAGUGGCUUCAGUUUCCUGUCAUCUUUCUUUUGGAAAUGGGAGUUGUUGUUGCUUCCCAGCUGUCGAAAAAAGAGAAGACGAUAAGCGAGACUACUACAGCGAGAGAGACGGUGGCCAAUAUUGUGUUAGUUGCCUGCUUUAUGCAAAACUAAAACAAGUGAGACUGAAAUGCUUUGGCAUGUAUUGGCUAAAUUAGAACGUAGUAUGAGAUUGGCAUAUGCAGGAUAACACUACAAGUUGACACACAUAGCAUGUAUUGGCUAAAUUAGAACACAUGAGAUUAUCAUAUGCUUUCUCAAAAAAGAAGAAGAGAGAUUGACAUAUGCAGGAUAACACUGCAAGUUGGCACACCUAGGCAAUUGGUUAAUGUUUUUUUGUUUUGUCUCUUUGCAUAGUGCCCAGGUAGUGUUUGCACAGAUUAUUUGUUAAAUUGUUAUGAUGUCUCUUUCUUUA